rnacentral:tRNA from 1 species
GCGCCCGUAGCUCAGCCGGAUAGAGCAGCGGCCUUCUAAGCCGACGGUCCCGCGUUCGAGUCGCGGCGGGCGCG